AUUGAACGCUGGCGGCAGGCCUAACACAUGCAAGUCGGACGGUAGCACAGAGGAGCUUGCUCCUCGGGUGACGAGUGGCGGACGGGUGAGUAAUGUCUGGGGAUCUGCCCGAUAGAGGGGGAUAACCACUGGAAACGGUGGCUAAUACCGCAUAACGUCGCAAGACCAAAGAGGGGGACCUUCGGGCCUCUCACUAUCGGAUGAACCCAGAUGGGAUUAGCUAGUAGGCGGGGUAACGGCCCACCUAGGCGACGAUCCCUAGCUGGUCUGAGAGGAAGACCAGCCACACGGGAACUGAGACACGGGCCAAACUCCUAGGGGAGGCAGCAGUGGGGAAUAUUGCACAAGGGGCGCAAGCCUGAUGCAGCCAUGCCGCGUGUAUGAAGAAGGCCUUCGGGUUGUAAAGUACUUUCGGCGGGGAGGAAGGCGAUGUGGUUAAUAACCGCAUUGAUUGACGUUACCCGCAGAAGAAGCACCGGCUAACUCCGUGCCAGCAGCCGCCGUAA
rnacentral:rRNA from 1 species